rnacentral:rRNA from 1 species
GACGAACGCUGGCGGCGUGCUUAACACAUGCAAGUCGAACGGAGUGGCGAACGGGUGAGUAACACGUGGGUGACCUGCCCUGCACUUCGGGAUAAUCCUGGGAAACUGGGUCUAAUACCGGAUAGUGUGGGAUGGGCUCGCGGCCAAUCAGCUUGUGGGUGGGGUAAUGGCCUACCAAGGCGGCGACGGGUAGCCGGCCUGGGAGGGUGGACGGCCACAUUGGGACUGCGACACGGCGCAGACUCCUACGGGAGGCAACGGGGGAGAAUAUUGCACAAUGGGGGGAAGCCUGUGGCGGCGGCGCCGCGUGGGGGAUGAUGGCCUUCGGGUUGUAAACUCCUUUCACCAUAGACGCGGUAGAUGGAGAAGAAGCACCGGCUAACUACGUGCCAGCAGCCGCGGUAAUAC